rnacentral:rRNA from 1 species
UACGGGGGGAGCAAGCGUUGUUCGGAUUUACUGGGCGUAAAGGGCGCGUAGGCGGCCUUCUAAGUCGAACGUGAAAUCCCCGGGCUCAACCCGGGAACUGCGUCCGAUACUGGAAGGCUUGAAUCCGGGAGAGGGAUGUGGAAUUCCAGGUGUAGCGGUGAAAUGCGUAGAUAUCUGGAGGAACACCGGUGGCGAAGGCGACAUCCUGGACCGGUAUUGACACUGAGGCACGAAAGCGUGGGGAGCAAACAGG